rnacentral:antisense_RNA from 1 species
GAAGUUGUCAUCUUCGGCCGCCAGCAGGGCAUUGAUGAAGUUCGGUGGAAUGUCCGCGAAACGCACUGGGGCGCGGCGCAUUUCGCCGAAUUCGGAGAUCAGCUUGCCAUCGCUGCUGUAGACCCGUAGCGGGAUCUGCAACUGGAUGCUGCGCAGGGCUUCAACCGAGGGCAGGUUCGGGCUCAGGUAGAGAAAGGCUCCGCUCAGGCCCAGCAACAGUGAGCAGAACACUGCAACGAGGGACCACCAGAAAAACUUCAGCAGGCGUAUCAAGGCUUUUGGAUUUCCAGAAAA